GGGGCCCCGGCUCUUUUGCACCUGGAAGAGCCCCGCCGUAACUCCGAAAUUGGGACUAGUGAGAGGGACCGUGAGCACGUGACUGACCUUGCUGGGUCUCCGGUGGAAGCCGUUCCCUUAGGGGCGGAACUCCAGCCGAAGCAGAAACAACUGUGGUGUGACACUGCUUGUGGGAUCUUAGUUCCCCAACCAGGGACUGAACCUGGGCCCUCGGCAGUGAGAGUGUGGAGUCCUAAGCACUGGGCAGCCAGUGAGAAGCAAAGACCUCCAAUAAGCCCUUGGCUCAGCCAUCAUCUCAGAACCUGGGUGAUCUCUGCACACCACUGCCCCCUUGUGGCUGAACUGGGAAUUAUCUGUGACUAACCUCAGGGGUCGGAUCUAAGAAGAGCCAAUCCAGAACUGAAGGUUGGGGAGGAGGCUGAGUGGGUCUCAGAGGAUUGAAAAACCAUGAAAUUCUGUUCUGAGUCCAGUGGGCCCUCAAAGACCGUCUGGUCUGACUUCUUCAUUACAUAUGGAGAAACCAAGUCUCAAAGAGGGUACUGCCAGGGAAUGAGUGGCGAGAUCACCAGACUUGGUGUAGGACAGUCCUCAGUCUGCAGGCUGGUGCCACUUCUUACUGGUUCUGAGACGCUGGGAAAGUGGCCUCACCCCCCACUGAUCCACAGUUUCCAUCUCUGUCAAAUGGAGUCUGGGGUCUGGUAGACUUCUCUUUUCUGGUAAUGCCAGGCUAAGUUACUCAGAUCAAUUCUCCCAUUGAAAACAACUAAAAACGCUGGUAAACUGGUGUAACCAGAGGGUACAGAAUUACCAGAACAAAAUGGAAGGAAAACAGAAACCUUGACAGACAAACCAAGCAAGAAAGUCAUUUUUUCUGAUUCUGGCCAAUUGGAACUGUUGUUUUGCUGACUCCCCUGCGCAAGGGGCACAGAUAAAGUUAGAGUCCAUAGUGAAUGAUCGUAUAGAAAACCUUUCCCACAAUAAGCCAGGAAUCCCAAAAGCCAUGCUUCCAGAAGGAAGCCAGCCCUAGUAUGGACUUGCAGCCCCAGCUUAUAUCUGUUGGAUGGUCUGUAAACUCAAGUCUUGAACUUAGAUUGACGUGCCCCAGACUGUGUGCCUCCAGCCUCCUGGAAAAAGCAAGUGAAAAUCUUCUUUGGAGGGAGGUUUGAUUAACUCUACAUUUGAAGGAGUUAAGUGUGUAGAUUAUAACCUCUAGGAUAAACAUUAACACAAUAAAAACAGUAUAAUUCCCAAGUCAGUUAAAGGAAGUAGAAGUCCCCUCUGGGUGAGGUUACUAACAAAAUACCUAUGCAUAUUAACAUCAGACAGAGUGGGCUUUAAGGCAAGAAGUACUAUUAGGAUACAACUCAAUAUCAAAAAAACAAACAACCCAAUCAAAAAAUGGGCAGAAGACCUAAACAGACAUUUCUCCAAAGAAGACAUCCAGAUGAUCAACAGGCACAUGAAAAGAUGAUCAACAUUGCUAAUUAUUAGAGAAAUGCAAAUCAAACUAUAAUGAGGUAUCACCUCAUACCAGUCAGAAUGGCCAUCAUCAAAAAGUCUACAAAUAAUAAAUGCUGGAGAGGAUAUGGAGAAAAAGGAACCCUCCUACACUAUUGGUGGGAAUGUAAAUUGGUACAGUCACUAUGGAGAACACUAUGGAAGUUCCUUAAAAAACUAAAAAUAGAGUAUGAUCCUGCAAUUCCACUCCUGGGCAUAUAUCCAGAGAAGACUAUAAUUUGAAAGGAUACAUGCGUCCAAUGUUCAUUGCAGCACUAUUUACAAUAGCCAAGACAUGGAAGCAACAUAAAUGCCCAUUGACAAAUGAAUGGAUAAAGAAGAUGUGAUAUAUAUAUACAAAGGAAUAUUACUCAGCCAUAAAAAAGAAUGAAAUAAUGCCAUUUACAGCAACAUGGAUGGACCUAGAGAUUAUCAUACUAAGUGAAGUAAGCCAGACAGAGAAAGACAAAUAUCAUAUGAUAUAGCUUAUAUAUGAAUCUAAAAAAAAUACAAAUGAACUUAUUUACAAGACAGAAAUAGACCUACAGACAUAGAAAAUAAGUUUAUGGUUACCAAAGGAGAAAGUGGGGGAGGGAUAAAUUAGGAUGUUGGGAUUAACAUAUACACACUAUUAUAUAUAAAAUAGAUAACCAACAAAGACCUACUGUAUAGCACAGGGAACUUUACUCAAUAUUUUUAAUAACAAAUAAGGGGAAAGAAUCUGAAAAAGAAUAUAUCUGAAUAUAAAAGAAUAUAUCUGAAUAUAAAAGAAUAUAUCUGAAUCACUGUGAUGUACACCUCAAACUAACACAACAUCGUAAAUCAACUAUACUUCAAUAAAAAAGAAGAGGGGGCUUCCCUGGUGGCGCAGUGGUUGAGAGUCUGCCUGCCAAUGCAGGGGACACGGGUUCGAGCCCUGGUCUGGGAGGAUCCCGCGUGCCGCGGAGCGGCUGGGCCCGUGAGCCACGGUUGCUGAGCCUGCGCGUCUGGAGCCUGUGCUCCACAACGGGAGAGGCC